AACGAACGCUGGCGGCAGGCCUAACACAUGCAAGUCGAACGCUCCGCAAGGGGAGUGGCGCACGGGUGAGUAACACGUGGGAACCUACCUUCUGGUACGGAACAACCGAGGGAAACUUUGGCUAAGACCGUAUACGACCUCCGGGUGAAAGAUUGAUCGCCGGAAGAGGGGCCCGCGUCCGAUUAGGUAGUUGGUGAGGUAACGGCUCACCAAGCCUUCGAUCGGUAGCUGGUCUGAGAGGAUGACCAGCCACACUGGGACUGAGACACGGCCCAGACUCCUACGGGAGGCAGCAGUGGGGAAUAUUGGACAAUGGGCGCAAGCCUGAUCCAGCCAUGCCGCGUGAGUGAUGAAGGCCUUCGGUUG
rnacentral:rRNA from 1 species